rnacentral:misc_RNA from 1 species
AUUGACCCCAUUGAAAUUUGAUAUGAUUCCCUUUUAUCUUUGUUCUAAUAUGACUAUGUUCAGCCAUCCAUUUUACCACCCUGAUCAAAUUUAGCUGCAUUCAUUUUUCCUCAAGACAUGUUGAGUUACUAAAACCUUCAUCCCAGUUCAAUUUUAAACAGAGAACCUAGAGACGGUCUGAUUAACUAGCAAGUCUGGGAGAA